rnacentral:rRNA from 1 species
GACGAACGCUGGCGGCGUGCCUCAUCCAUGCAAGUAGAACGCAGUUUCGAACGGGUGAGUAACGCGUCGGUAACUGCCUCAUAGCGGGGGAUAACUAUUGGAAACGAUAGCUCAUCCCGCAUACUGUUAGAUGGACCUGCUUUGUAUUAGCUAGUUGGUGAGGUAAAGGCUCAACAAGGCGACGAUACAUAGCCGACCUGAGAGGGGGAGCGGCAACAAUGGGACUGAGAAACUGCCCAGACUCGUACGGGAGGCAGCAGGAGGGAAGCUUCGGCAAUGGACGGAAGUCUGACCGAGCAAAUCCGCGGGAGUGAAGAAGGUUUUCGGAUAGUAAAGCGAGGUUGUGAGAGAAGCGGUAACUAAACAGAAAGGGACGGCUAACUACGUGCCAGCAGCCGCGGUAAUAC